rnacentral:tRNA from 1 species
GGCUGUUGGUGUAAAGGUAGCACACUUGACUUUUAAUCAAGUAGGUGAAGGUUCAAAUCCUUCGUCU